AGACAACUGGUCGCAUCAACUUACCUGGUUUUUGCAUUUUGGACUAAUAGUACAUACAGGGAAAUGUUGGACUCGAUAUACAUAUUCAUCAUCAUCAUCAUCAUCGUAUCACCACUUCUUAAACCUGAAGAAAUAAGCAAAUGGCUUGACAUUCCAACACUUUAUAUGCACUACAAACAUGAUUGGAGUAAACCAGGAACUCAAUUCAAUCACUUACAAGCUCUGAUUGAGUAUUUUAUUUACAAAGACUUGUCUAUUUCUUAUAAUGUUUUAAAUGCUGAAGCAAAAUUUUUGUGCCGUAUUUUCCCAUACUAUCAAGCAAGUUACAUAAUUAAGCUUCUUGGCGAAAUAGGAAAUGAACCCAACAGAAUAAGAGUGGUGGCAAGAAAAUUGUGCUUGAAAGUUCAAAAGAAAUCCAUUGGUGGUUCUGGCAGAUCCAGACCCGUUAAUAAGAAUACAUUAAAUAAUAACAGACAUUUAUUGCCAGAUAACCCAGAACUUCCAUUAACGCAAAAGCGUAUUUUUGAACAAAACGAAUGCUCAGAAAGUGAUUUAUUUGUUAAAAAAUCCAAGUCUGAUUGCAAUGAGAAUAUUAAAAAAAAUAAUUUAACUGUGAAUAAUUUUGAACUUAAAAAGGCAAUUGAAGAUGCAGUCUCAAAAAUAGAUCAGAAAAGUGAAGUUUAUUUUCCUGAAAUAGUGAAAAGUAUUUCAGAAAUUCAACUACCUAAAAGGAAAGAUUCUCCGCCCCAACAAAAUCAUAGUUUAAUUUCAACUGAAAAUAAAACCGAAGAAAAAGAUUCUUUAAAUAGUCUAUCUUCGAAAAGCAAUAAUUCUAAUUUAAAUCAAAGUGUACACUAUCCUCAACAUGCGUACUCAGAACAAAUUGAGACUGUCACCAGCACUACAAUGUUCAAUAAACAAGAAGUUCAAAAUACAAAUGUAGAAGUAAAUUCAUCGGAAAGACUGUCCAUAUCUGCAUUACUGUCUGAAACAUAUCAAUCUCCAUUCGAUAUAUUUAGUGAGGAACUUCAGAAUCAAAAUUGUUCUUUAAUUAUGGACAAAUUUACGCAACAUAUAAUUUCAUCUGAUGGUAAAGAAGACUUUGACAUACCCCCAAUACAAACAGGUGCAUUAAACAACAGGAAUGCGCCAUUUAUUAUUGUUCCCAGUACGUCUAAAGAAAAUUUUGUGCCCAGUUUCAGCAGAAUGCCUGAUAAAUAUGUAGAUAACUCCAUAUCCAUUAAUUCAAAUUCACCAGAUUUACUAAAUAAUAUUACAAGCCAUUGUUAUGAUACUUUCCCAACUAGUAAAACAUCAAUAAAUAUGGAAUGGUUGGCCGAAAUGAAUGAUUGUGCUCCAAAAAUUGAGGAUAAUUUAAAUACAGAAUCUGAAAACAAGAAUGUACCGUUAAUUAUUGUCCCCAGUACGUCAAAAGAAAAUUUUGUGCCCAGUUUCAGCGGAAUGCCUGAUAAAAACAUGAACAAUUCAAUACCCAUUCCUUCUAAUUCACAUGAUUUACUAGAUAAUAUUACAAACAAGAGUUUUGAUAAUUUCCCAAUUAGUAAAACGCCAAUAAAUAUGGAAUGGUUAUCCGAAAUUAAUGGUUUUCCAAAAAUCGAAGAUAAUUUAAAUACAGUACAUACAACAUUUAAUAAACCGUCGAGAAAUACUAAAGAUACACCCAAAAUCGUGCAACUAACACCUGUCCAGUGUAAGGUGAACAUUCCCAGGAUAAUGGAAAAAUUUAACGCAAAGAUUUCAAAUAGCCCAAUUGAUUUAACCGUGGAUGCUGAAGAGGAAGACGUGCAAUUAAUGCCUGUGCCAACAAAGGAAACUGAAACGAAUCCUCUGAUUUAUCAGCUAUUGGAAAUUUUUCCUGAAGCUUGUCCAGAUUAUUUAAGAAAGAUAUGCAAGAAUCGUACUAUUAAAUUAAGUGAAAUCGACAGUUUAAUUUCAGAAAUUCUUAGCAGUGAUUAUCCGAAAAGAAAGAUUGUUGAGGAAGAACCAAAAGAGAUUGACGCUAAUGAACUUUCUGAACAUCUUAAAGAACUUCUACCAAAUGCUGACCCAACUUAUUUAGAAAUGAAAGCAGAACAAUUAGCGAAUAAGCCUGAUGAUUUAAAGGUGUUUAUUUCAAAUGCAUUUGAACGUCACGAUUAUCCAACAAUGAAGGAAUAUUUAAGGAGAGUGAAGAUUUCAAGUCAACAAAAGCAAUAUACCACAAAUUUUACAGUUGAAAACUUUUUGGAUGUUAUACCAGAUCCAUUUACCUAUUUCAAAGACUCUUCACGCAAAUCGAACGUCAAAGAUGAUGGUCAGGAUAUCCGCUAUGUAAUUGCGUUCCUAAAAAACAAGUACCCACAAGUUCCUGUUAAAAUUAUAUCCAGCAUGGAUAUAUUAAAAAAUAAUUUAAUUAAAAUUUGCCAAUUGCUCGAUAAGGCGAUGCCGAUGAAGAGUAAACGAAAACCAGUUCCUCUGCCUAAAUUACUGGAGAAUAUUCCUUUGCUUCAAGAGAUUGCUUUUAUACAUCACGAAGAGGAAAUUCAUUCUUUUAUUAAAGUACAAAAGGCAAAAGAAGAACAAGAACGUGAAAUCGCAAAACAGGCUGGUCUGUUGCAAACUUGUCAGUGUUGUUUUGACGAUGAAGUAAUGCCUAAAGAUAUUGCCCACUGUAACAGCGGCUGUGUUUUCUGCAAGAGUUGCGUCAGCAAAUCCAUAGAAGUAGCCUUUGGAGAAGGUAAAUUACAAUUUCCAUGUCUUUCCACUUGUACCUCCGAGUUCAGUUUGCAAACUCUCCAGAACGUGUUGAAUCCGAAAAUAUUCUCAAAGAUAGCCCUUAAAAAGCAAGUGGAAGAGGUUAAAGCAGCUGGUAUAGAAGAUAUCGAAAGUUGUCCCUUCUGCGAUUUCGUGAGUAUUCCAGCAAAAGAGGACAAACUGUUCCGAUGCCUCAAUCCGUCUUGUAUGAAAGAGUCUUGCCGCGAGUGUAAAGAACCAUCUCACGUUCCUCUACGUUGUGAGGAAGUUGAAAAAGAUGAAGAUGUGAAAGCUCGCAUUUAUAUUGAGAACAAAAUGGCGGAAGCAUUAAUAAGGAAGUGCUAUAAAUGUGGGUUGAAGUUUGUUAAAUCAGAUGGUUGUAAUAAGAUGACUUGUUCCUGCGGAGCUACAAUGUGUUAUAUUUGCAACAACCCCGUAAUCGAUUACAAACACUUUAAUGGUCAAGGAGGAACAAAUUUUGAGUUGUGUCCAUUAUACAGCGACACUGAUAAAUUACAUGUUGAAAAUAUAUUAAAAAGUGCUAAUGAGGCUAAAGCAGAAUUAGGAAAAGAAAAUUUAAAAAUUGAUCCCACUGCUGAUCUCCAAAAACAUUAUAAAAUCAAAAAUAGGAGGAAAUCGAAUAAUGUGCCACCACAUGUGGAUCCAUUUGUUGUGAUGAAUGAAGCAGAGCGAAUCUUACAGGUAAAUUACAUAGUAAUUUACAAUACAAGCAUUCAUCCAAAAAUCAUUUUAAAUUGUAUUGUUAAAUAACAGGAAAAUUAGGGCAUAUACAAGGCAAGCAUUUUUAAGUUCCCUUUUGAAAUAAAAAAAAAACAUUUUUACAUGUAAGCAUGUAUCUUAAUCUACUUUUCUAUGUAGUUCCUACCAAUGUUAGGGUUUUUCUAACCCUGGCUCAUAGAAAUCUGCUGUCUGUCUAGUUUGGCAACCACUGUAAUACGACCGUUUUUGACUGAUCACCCAGAUGUUUCUUCCAAUUUAGUAAUAUGUGGUAGUUACUGGACGAUGGAAUGAAACGGAAAUGGGUUUGAAUUUUUAAAGAUGGCUCUAAGAAUAUUCACGAUGAGGAACGUGGGUGUCCUGUUAUUAUUAAAAAUUUGGUACAAAUGGUUGAUAAAAAAGUAAAUGUCAAAAGACAUUUUACAAUUUCGUCAUUAUCUGAUAAGUUUCCUAAACUUUCAUUUGAGCGGUACAAAGGAGGUGAUUAUUUUUUAAGCGUACCGUAAAUAAACAAUUUCAGCCUGGGACUUUUUGCGUCUGGGUAAACGGUUACGUGCUACUAUAGUUACAAAAUCAGGCAGCGGUGUCUUAGAGCUACUGUACAUAAGGUGACUCAGCAGAGCUAGAUUUUUGAAUGAGGAGCAUUAGGAAUUCACACUCAGCCACGCCACAGAAAUGUAGCGCUGCAAACGGGCUGUAUAGUCGGAAGUCUGCUUGGACCCCGGUGGCGACCAGGAAAGGUCGCGCUGUUAACCGUGAUACUACACUUAGCAAUUGGAAGAAGCAUUAAAUUUUUUUCGAUUAAACGGAAAUAUUGAACGACUAGAACGUUUUGCAGAGCUUAACAGAUUCGAGGCAGUCCAUC
rnacentral:misc_RNA from 1 species